rnacentral:rRNA from 1 species
GACGAACGCUGGCGGCGUGCUUAACACAUGCAAGUCGAACGAAAAGAGGGAAAGAGCUUGCUCUUUCCGGAAUUGAGUGGCAAACGGGUGAGUAACACGUAAACAACCUGCCUUCAGGAUGGGGACAACAGACGGAAACGACUGCUAAUACCGAAUAAGUUCCAAGAGCCGCAUGGCCCAUGGAAGAAAAGGUGGCCUCUACCUGUAAGCUAUCGCCUGAAGAGGGGUUUGCGUCUGAUUAGCUGGUUGGAGGGGUAACGGCCCACCAAGGCGACGAUCAGUAGCCGGUCUGAGAGGAUGAACGGCCACACUGGAACUGAGACACGGUCCAGACUCCUACGGGAGGCAGCAGUGGGGAAUCUUCCGCAAUGGGCGAAAGCCUGACGGAGCAACGCCGCGUGAGUGAUGACGGCCUUCGGGUUGUAAAACUCUGUGAUCCGGGACGAAAAGGCAGAGUGCGAAGAACAAACUGCAUUGACGGUACCGGAAAAGCAAGCCACGGCUAACUACGUGCCAGCAGCCGCGGUAAUACGUAGGUGGCAAGCGUUGUCCGGAAUUAUUGGGCGUAAAGCGCGCGCAGGCGGCUUCCCAAGUCCCUCUUAAAAGUGCGGGGCUUAACCCCGUGAUGGGAAGGAAACUGGGAAGCUGGAGUAUCGGAGAGGAAAGUGGAAUUCCUAGUGUAGCGGUGAAAUGCGUAGAGAUUAGGAAGAACACCGAUGGCGAAGGCGACUUUCUGGACGAAAACUGACGCUGAGGCGCGAAAGCGUGGGGAGCAAACAGG